rnacentral:rRNA from 1 species
ACGCUGGCGGCAGGCCUAACACAUGCAAGUCGAGCGGUAGAGAGAAGCUUGCUUCUCUUGAGAGCGGCGGACGGGUGAGUAAUGCCUAGGAAUCUGCCUGGUAGUGGGGGAUAACGUUCGGAAACGGACGCUAAUACCGCAUACGUCCUACGGGAGAAAGCAGGGGACCUUCGGGCCUUGCGCUAUCAGAUGAGCCUAGGUCGGAUUAGCUAGUUGGUGAGGUAAUGGCUCACCAAGGCGACGAUCCGUAACUGGUCUGAGAGGAUGAUCAGUCACACUGGAACUGAGACACGGUCCAGACUCCUACGGGAGGCAGCAGUGGGGAAUAUUGGACAAUGGGCGAAAGCCUGAUCCAACCAUGCCGCGUGUGUGAAGAAGGUCUUCGGAUUGUAAAGCACUUUAAGUUGGGAGGAAGGGUUGUAGAUUAAUACUCUGCAAUUUUGACGUUACCGACAGAAUAAGCACCGGCUAACUCUGUGCCAGCAGCCGCGGUAAUACAGAGGGUGCAAGCGUUAAUCGGAAUUACUGGGCGUAAAGCGCGCGUAGGUGGUUUGUUAAGUUGGAUGUGAAAUCCCCGGGCUCGACCUGGGAACUGCAUUCAAAACUGACUGACUAGAGUAUGGUAGAGGGUGGUGGAAUUUCCUGUGUAGCGGUGAAAUGCGUAGAUAUAGGAAGGAACACCAGUGGCGAAGGCGACCACCUGGACUAAUACUGACACUGAGGUGCGAAAGCGUGGGGAGCAAAC